UAGGAACUCGGCAAAUUGACACCGUAACUUCGGAAGAAGGUGUGCCCUAUUAGUGUGAAGUGAACAACGGAGCAUGAAUGGGUUGCAAAAAAUCGGUGGCUGCGACUGUUUAUUAAAAACACAGCACUCUGCAAACACGAAAGUGGACGUAUAGGGUGUGACGCCUGCCCGGUGCUGGAAGAUUAAAUGAUGGGGUGCAAGCUCUUGAUUGAAGUCCCAGUAAACGGCGGCCGUAACUAUAACGGUCCUAAGGUAGCGAAAUUCCUUGUCGGGUAAGUUCCGACCUGCACGAAUGGCGUAAUGAUGGCCACACUGUCUCCUCCCGAGACUCAGCGAAGUUGAAAUGUUUGUGAUGAUGCAAUCUCCCCGCGGAAAGACGGAAAGACCCCAUGAACCUUUACUGUAGCUUUGUAUUGGACUUUGAACAGAUCUGUGUAGGAUAGGUGGGAGGCUUUGAAGCAGGGUCGCUAGAUCUUGUGGAGCCAACGUUGAAAUACCACCCUGGUGUGUUUGAGGUUCUAACCUAGGUCCAUUAUCUGGAUCGGGGACAGUGCAUGGUAGGCAGUUUGACUGGGGCGGUCUCCUCCCAAAGCGUAACGGAGGAGUUCGAAGGUACGCUAGUUACGGUCGGACAUCGUGACGAUAGUGCAAUGGCAUAAGCGUGCUUAACUGCGAGACUGACAAGUCGAGCAGAUGCGAAAGCAGGACAUAGUGAUCCGGUGGUUCUGUAUGGAAGGGCCAUCGCUCAACGGAUAAAAGGUACUCUGGGGAUAACAGGCUGAUACCGCCCAAGAGUUCAUAUCGACGGCGGUGUUUGGCACCUCGAUGUCGGCUCAUCUCAUCCUGGGGCUGUAGCCGGUCCCAAGGGUAUGGCUGUUCGCCAUUUAAAGAGGUACGUGAGCUGGGUUUAAAACGUCGUGAGACAGUUUGGUCCCUAUCUUCCGUGGGCGCUGCAGAUUUGAGGAAGCCUGCUCCUAGUACGAGAGGACCGGAGUGGACGCACCUCUGGUGUAUCGGUUGUCACGCCAGUGGCAUUGCCGAGUAGCUAUGUGCGGAAGAGAUAACCGCUGAAAGCAUCUAAGCGGGAAACUCGUUCCAAGAUGAGAUCUGCCGGGGCCUUGAGCCCCCUAAAGAGUCGUUCAAGACCAGGACGUUGAUAGGUCGGGUGUGGAAGCGCAGUAAUGCGUUAAGCUAACCGAUACUAAUUGCUCGUGCGGCUUGACCCC
rnacentral:rRNA from 1 species